UACGUAGGGUGCGAGCGUUAAUCGGAAUUACUGGGCGUAAAGCGUGCGCAGGCGGUUUUGUAAGACAGAUGUGAAAUCCCCGGGCUUAACCUGGGAACUGCAUUUGUGACUGCAAGGCUAGAGUACGGCAGAGGGGGGUAGAAUUCCACGUGUAGCAGUGAAAUGCGUAGAUAUGUGGAGGAAUACCGAUGGCGAAGGCAGCUCCCUGGGUCGAUACUGACGCUCAUGCACGAAAGCGUGGGGAGCAAACAGG
rnacentral:rRNA from 1 species